rnacentral:rRNA from 1 species
GACGAACGCUGGCGGCGUGCUUAACACAUGCAAGUCGAACGGAAAGGCCUGCUUUCCCUUGUGGAUUGCGGGUACUCGAGUGGCGAACGGGUGAGUAACACGUGAGUGAUCUGCCCCCAACUUGGGUAUAAGCCUGGGAAACUGGGUCUAAUUCCCGAUAGGACUGCAGGGUGGUGCCUGUGGUGGAAAACGAUUUUCUAGUGGGUGGGGAUGAGCUCGCGGCCUAUCAGCUUGUUGGUGGGGUAAUGGCCUACCAAGGCGGCGACGGGUAGCCGGCCUGAGGGGGUGGACGGCCACAUUGGGACUGAGAUACGGCCCAGACUCCUACGGGAGGCAGCAGUGGGGAAUAUUGCACAAUGGGCGGAAGCCUGAUGCAGCGACGCCGCGUGGGGGAUGACGGCCUUCGGGUUGUAAACUCCUUUCGACCGCGAGGAAGCCACCUGGUUGGAAGGGUGGUGACGGUAGUGGUAGAAGAAGCACCGGCUAACUACGUG